GGAGGAAGCAGGGGAUCGCAAGACCUUGCGCUUUUGGAGCGGCCGAUGCCUGAUUAGCUUGUUGGUGAGGUAAAAGCUCACCAAGGCUUCGAUCAGUAGCUGGUCUGAGAGGACGACCAGCCACACUGGGACUGAGACACGGCCCAGACUCCUACGGGAGGCAGCAGUGGGGAAUUUUGGACAAUGGGGGCAACCCUGAUCCAGCCAUGCCGCGUGAGUGAAGAAGGCCUUCGGGUUGUAAAGCUCUUUCAGCCGGAACGAGACGGUUACGGUUAAUACCCGUGACUACUGACGGUACCGGAAGAAGAAGCACCGGCUAACUACGUGCCAGCAGCCGCGGUAAUACGUAGGGUGCAAGCGUUAAUCGGAAUUACUGGGCGUAAAGCGUGCGCAGGUGGUUUUGUAAGUCAGAUGUGAAAUCCCCGGGCUUAACCUGGGAACUGCGUUUGAAACUACAAAGCUAG
rnacentral:rRNA from 1 species